GCUGCAUUUAAGUGUUUUAUUGAAUACAGUGUGGAUUUUAGUCAUUUUACAGCUGUGUAUCACACUCCUAUGUUGUAAGCAUGGACUGCUGGUAUUCCACAAACCGCAUUUAAAAGCAGUUAGGAAUGUAUCCUUAGAUCAGGGGUGUUCAAAAGGUAGAUCCACAGAUGUUUUAAAACUACAGCUUCCAUGAUGCUUUAUCAUUCUAAAAGCAUUCUACAUGCAUGCAAAGCAUCAUGGGAGUUGUUGUUCUACAACAUCUGGGGUCUACCUUUUUGGCACUCCUGCCUUAGUUAAUGACUACACAAGCAAUUCAUUGGUCACAAUAGGGUUAACAAUA